AGUGGCAGACGGGUGAGUAACGCGUGGGAAUCUACCCAGUACUACGGAACAACAGUUAGAAAUGACUGCUAAUACCGUAUACGCCCUUCGGGGGAAAGAUUUAUCGGUAUUGGAUGAGCCCGCGUUUGAUUAGCUAGUUGGUGAGGUAAUGGCUCACCAAGGCGACGAUCAAUAGCUGGUCUGAGAGGACGAUCAGCCACACUGGGACUGAGACACGGCCCAGACUCCUACGGGAGGCAGCAGUGGGGAAUAUUGGACAAUGGGCGAAAGCCUGAUCCAGCCAUGCCGCGUGUGUGAUGAAGGCCCUAGGGUUGUAAAGCACUUUCAACGGUGAAGAUAAUGACGGUAACCGUAGAAGAAGCUCCGGCUAACUUCGUGCCAGCAGCCGCGGUAAUACGAAGGGAGCUAGCGUUGUUCGGAAUUACUGGGCGUAAAGCGCGCGUAGGCGGGCUAUUAAGUUAGGGGUGAAAUCCCGGGGCUCAACCCCGGAACUGCCCUUGAUACUGGUAGUCUAGAGUUCGAGAGAGGUGAGUGGAAUUCCGAGUGUAGAGGUGAAAUUCGUAGAUAUUCGGAGGAACACCAGUGGCGAAGGCGGCUCACUGGCUCGAUACUGA
rnacentral:rRNA from 1 species